rnacentral:tRNA from 1 species
GGGGUGCUAGCUCAGCUGGUUAGAGCGCUGGCCUGUCAAGCCAGAGGUCGCGAGUUCAAGUCUCGUGCAUCCCGCCA